rnacentral:rRNA from 1 species
CCUACGGGUGGCUGCAGUGGGGAAUAUUGGACAAUGGGGGCAACCCUGAUCCAGCCAUGCCGCGUGUGUGAAGAAGGCCCUCGGGUUGUAAAGCACUUUCAGUGAGGAAGAACGCCUGGUGGUUAAUACCCAUCAGGAAAGACAUCACUCACAGAAGAAGCACCGGCUAACUCCGUGCCAGCAGCCGCGGUAAUACGGAGGGUGCGAGCGUUAAUCGGAAUUACUGGGCGUAAAGCGCGCGUAGGUGGCUUGAUAAGCCGGUUGUGAAAGCCCCGGGCUCAACCUGGGAACGGCAUCCGGAACUGUCAAGCUAGAGUGCAGGAGAGGAAGGUAGAAUUCCCGGUGUAGCGGUGAAAUGCGUAGAGAUCGGGAGGAAUACCAGUGGCGAAGGCGGCCUUCUGGACUGACACUGACUCUGAGGUGCGAAAGCGUGGGUAGCAAACAGGAUUAGAUACCCCAGUAGUC